AUUGAACGCUGGCGGCAGGCCUAACACAUGCAAGUCGAGCGAGCGGCGGACGGGUGAGUAAUGUAUGGGAAACUGCCCGAUGGAGGGGGAUAACUACUGGACACGGUAGCUAAUACCGCAUACCAUGAGAUGUGGCCAGAGGGGAUUAGCUAGUAGGUGGGGUAACGGCUCACCUAGGCGCCGAGCCCUAGCUGGUCUGCGAGGAUGACCGGCCACACUGGAACUGAGACACGGUCCAGACUCCUACGGGAGUCAGCAGGGGGGAAUAGUGCACAAUGGGCGCAAGCCUGAUGCAGCCAUGCCGCGUGUGUGAAGAAGGCCUUCGGGUUGUAAAGCACUUUCAGCGGGGAGGCGUUACCCGCAGAAGAAGCACCGGCUAACUCCGUGCCAGCAGCCGCGGUAAUAC
rnacentral:rRNA from 1 species